UGCGUAGGUGGUUGCGUAAGUUAAUUGUGAAAGUCCUGGGCUUAACCUGGGGAUUGCAGUUAAUACUGCGUGACUAGAGUGUUGUAGAGGUAAGCGGAAUUUCCGGUGUAGCGGUGAAAUGCGUAGAUAUCGGAAGGAACAUCGAUGGCGAAGGCAGCUUUCUGGACAAAUACUGACACUGAGGCACGAAAGCGUGGGGAGCAAACAGGAUUAGAUACCCUGGUAGUCCACGCCGUAAACGAUGAGAACUGGCUGUUGGGUGCGCGAGCACUGAGUAGCGAAGCAAACGCGUUAAGUUCUCCGCCUGGGGAGUACGGCCGCAAGGUUAAA
rnacentral:rRNA from 1 species